rnacentral:rRNA from 1 species
UACGUAGGGUGCAGGCGUUUAAUCGGAAUUACUGGGCGUAAAGCGUGCGCAGGCGGUUUGCUAAGACAGGUGUGAAAUCCCCGGGCUUAACCUGGGAACUGCGCUUGUAACUGGCAAGCUGGAGUGUGGCAGAGGGGGGUGGAAUUCCACGUGUAGCAGUGAAAUGCGUAGAGAUGUGGAGGAACACCGAUGGCGAAGGCAGCCCCCUGGGCUAACACUGACGCUCAUGCACGAAAGCGUGGGAGCGAACAGG